UACGUAUGGUGCAAGCGUUAUCCGGAUUUACUGGGUGUAAAGGGAGCGCAGGCGGCACGGCAAGCCUGAUGUGAAAGCCCGCGGCCCAACCGCGGGACUGCAUUGGGAACUACCGGGCUGGAGUGCCGGAGAGGUAGGCGGAAUUCCUAGUGUAGCGGUGAAAUGCGUAGAUAUAUGGAAGAACACCAGUGGCGAAGGCGGCUCUCUGGUCUGCAACUGACGCUGAGGCUCGAAAGCAUGGGUAGCGAACAGG
rnacentral:rRNA from 1 species